rnacentral:lncRNA from 1 species
GGUUUUAGCAAGUCAGUGGAGUUUUGGGUUGUUUUGAAAACAUCAUAGCCUCUUGACGCAGGGACUGCGUCCACAUCACCUCUACAUCUCACAGUGCUCACUUUGCUGUCUGUGACACCAGUUUAUUUUUUGGUUCUGACAAACAAGCUGUGGAAAGGUGAGAAGUCAAUUUACCCUGAUGUUACUUUAAUAGAUUUAAUAAACUUUUUAAUAAAAGUCUUUUAGAUGAGCUUUGACACUGGUGAGUGAAGGCAGUGAAUGAUUCUGGAUGGGGCCACUGUGAUUCGUUCCUCAGGAUGAAGGGUGUUAUGAUCUUUCUGGUGUUGACGCUGGUCGUCAUCUUGGCUGAAGCCCAGCAGUAUGGUCCUAUUAGCGGUCGUGGGAACACAGGAACAACUGGAGGUCUCCACUUUGGAGGAUGCAAAGUGACACGGCUCCCACACAGGCUUGGUGUUAUUAUCAAUAGUGGAAACACAGGCACAACUGGAAGUAAGUCACAAGUGUUCACACAAACUGAGUUGAUGUUAACAGAUUAACCUCUGAUUUACAUAAACAGCAGGCUACUUAAGACUGAGAUCAACAAAUCACACUUGACUGUACUAACUUACUACAUACAAUUUCAUUUAGUUCUGUGUUUAGCUAAACUCUUUAUUAAUCCUGGUAUCUCAGAUAAUAAACCUAAAACUAAGUAAAGAGAGCAUCAUUAAUGUUCUAAAUGCAAAGAUUUUCAAAUGUGAUAAUGAUAUCCUGAUGUUUAUUGAACUAACGUAUCAUUUUUUCCCUUUAGGCAUCACAAAUGAACCGUAAGUAUUACUGAAUAUUUUCUGUUGGUUUCAAACAGACAAAUAAGAGAUAUAAAAGACUUUGUGAGAUACCUCAAACCUAUCAAACAUAGCAAGCAUCAGUAUUAAUCAGAUCCCGAGUUGAUGUCUUCAAGAACCUUAUUUUGUCCAACCCAUUUAAAUGCACGAUGAUACAGAGGGUAAAGAAGCAAGUCGACACAUUUCAGAAGCUGGAAUCAGAGAAUUUCUGUCAUUUUUAUUUGAAAAUUAUUCAAAAAUUAUUCAAUUAUCAAAAUAUUUGUCAAUUAAGAUUCUGUUGAUCAACCUCUGUUGAUCAUUCAACUACCUGAUUUCUCUCUUUUUUUCCCUCCCUUCUCGAACUUGGUAUAGAUUCGAAUGCAGAUGCACAUGUGGAACAACCCAAGGUGAAGUGGCCAGCUAUAAAUUGAUGCAAUACUAUAAAGACUGACUCUGUUCUUAAUUUUGAAGAUAUAGUUUGAGCUAUAUCUUUGUACUUUGCAAAACAAGAAAUAAUUGGAUCAGUAAACAUGAAGCUCUUGAGAUGUAGUGAUUUUAGUCACAGCUCCAGUUGAUGUUGAAAAGAGUCAAAUUGCUUGAUAGUGAAAACUAUCCUGCUGAAUAAAGCUGCAUUCCAAAAGACCAUCUCUGUGUUGUGGUGUUAUUUAAGUGAACACGUGCUUGUAAUUUUACUGGUGAUGAUGAUCAGAAACAUUGUCUUCAUUAAGUCAGAGGUAAAAGUUUAUAUUAAGUAGAUUUAAAUAAUGAGUUGUGUUGGUGUUAUCAGUUUAUUAAAUGAACAUUCUUCCUAUUCGAUCAGUAUAUGAAUAUCUCCUUUGAAUACGGCCAACAGUCAGGACAUUCAAGUUACUAUGAAGUGAAAUGAGUAAAAAGAAAUGAACUAAUACCUAGAAUUGAUUAGCUGGAACCAUCAAAUGUGGGAAGAGCUUUAACAGUAAGAAUGUAUUUUUAUCAUCAUCUUUUUUUUUUUUUUUAACAAUAUCUUUAUUGACGUUUUCCAGAUACAUUGACAUUACGCAGUGUUUGUGACAGGGAAAGUUCAGCGAUUCUAAAAACCCUCCCUCCCAAACUAACCCUUGCCAGUCUUCACCCUUCCCAUCCCUCCCCAGCUAGUCUAUAGCUUAUCCCAUACAAAAAAAGAUAAGAAAAAAAGUAAUAAAAAAAUAUUUUAAAAAAAAAUUAAGAAAGAAAAUUAGAUAAAAAAUAAAGAGUAAAUAAAUACAUAAAUUAAAAAAAGAUAAAGUGGUACAAUAAAUUUAAACAAAAAUCAAAUUAAAUUAAAGCAGAAGUUUACAGUGCAGAGGGUUAGGGUUCAGGGCUGCCAAGUUUCAGAAAAUGACAAGAGUGAGACUUUAGUCAGAAGAUUGUUCGGCGUGAAAAAAAUGUGGCCUUUUUUAACAUCGAUUUGACCUGUUUUAACGUUGAUUUAUUCCUUAAGACUGAUGUCCUCACCUCCAUGCCAGCGGCUCUCCCUGCACUGUGGCCUCCUAAUGCUAAUCUUAAUUAACCAGAAAUUAGAAAUGAAAAUUGUAACAAGAAUUUUGACAAAAGAUAUUUAUCAGGGUUCUUGCAGGUUUCAGUGAGUCAAAUUUAAGACCUUUUUAAGACAUUUUAAGACCAUAAAAAUUUAAGCCCUUCAGGAUGCAUUACCAAAUUUAUUUUUAAAUCAAAUGAAUUCUGAAAGAAUCAUUUUAUUACAAUGAGUUCAGUCAUUAACAGAUAAGCAGGCAAAAAACAAACUUGCCUUCAAAUAGAAUAUAUUUAAUUUCAUAUUAAUUAAAAAGCGCACUGCAACUUACAAAUGCAAGAAAAAGAAGCACACACUCACCCGCUCUCUCUCUCUCACACACUCACCCACGCUCUCUUUCUCUCACACACACAGGACAACGUCGAGUGGGUUUUAAAUGUCGGUGCUGUUGUGUGUGAAAGAUAGUUAGAGACGCAAAGACCCGCCUUACGUUGCUUCUGAUUGGUUUAUAUUGCAUGGUGCCUUCCGUGGUUGGUUAGAUUUAGGCACAAAGGACUGAUGGAUUGGUCUGGGAUUGGUUAUCUCGGUCAGUCAAUCAGAGUUACUCGAACUACGGCAAGCCGAGGACCAAAGAUUAUUAUCAUGAAAAAAAAAAAAUAUAGAGUAUUGAAUGGGGAAAUAUAAGCGUGAGAAAUGUCAAGUGUGGCGUGUGGUGUGAGAAUGGGUCAAAUUGUGUGACUGUCACACUCAAAGCAUGACGCUUGGCAGCUCUGCAAGUUACUGUGUGGUACUGUUUAAUUCUCAGUCAUCUGUUGUGUCCAUCCAGUAUUUGUCCUGGCCUAAGAGCCAGGUUAUGACAGUACUGAGUAAUCCUGUAACAAUGUAGUAAUCACC